UCACAGGACCAAUGAUGAAUUAGCUAAUAAAUUAUUCUCAUUAAUCAGGUCCACAUGCUUAGAGUAAGAUGAAAAUCGACUUCCAUCUGCCAUUAAACAGCACUCACUGUCCACCUGUUCUGCUCAUGUAUGCCUGAUUUCUUCUGCAUUUGUCUUGUAGUCAUGAGUGAUGAGGUUGCAGAGAUGGAGUACAACAGCAUUUAUAUAGAAACGACUGAAUGGUGAAUUACAACAUUCAAGACCAUAAACUGUCCUCGGCAGAAACCUGUAUUUGUCCACUGUAAAAGAAUCUUAUCAAAAUUACUGCAGAAGUGUGACUUCUCAGCCUCUAUGAAGAAAACAUGACAUUUUUGAUGAUUAAGGAUGGUCACAGGCAGAGAUGCUUUAAAGUGUUAGUUGGCCUGAAGCACAUUCCUGUCACAGUGCCAUCUCCUUGGAGUACUUAUUGCUUUGUGGAUCCAGUCACAUGUGUGGAUACUCCUGACUCCAAAUUUGUUUUCUCCCAUCAAAACCUUCAAAUUUCUGUCUUGGGAAACCAAAAGUGUUGGUCAAGGUGCUAAAAUGUCAGCCGGGAGCACCUCAUUCUCUAUUUGCUGAAAAUGCUGAAAUGGACUCCUCACCGUGCGGGUCUCCACAGCAGAAACAUCUGGGGCAAAUGCUGGUCCCUGGCAGAAGCUUGACUCAUAAAGCAUCACAAGGUUUGUAAGCAGCCUGGGCAAUUCAUCUCAGAUCUGCAUCUGAAAAACAAAGAAGCCCAUGACUGGAGAAGAGAAAGGGCAAGACUGAGAUCUCACAACCAGCAGCUCCAAGUUGCAGGAACCUAAACUUUCAGGUGUAGCUCUCCACUCUUCUUCAGCACCAGGCCCUGAUGCUAUUGGCUGAUGAAAGAGAGGACAAACCAAAAUGUGUAAGCCAGAUCAGAUGGGAAUGAAAAUGCUUUAUGUAAUCUAACUUUGUAUUUCUAAUAUGUAGGGAGACAGAAGAGGAAGCAUGCUUCUUCAGAUGGCCUGAAAGUUUCCAGAGAUGCUCAGGCCUAAGCCAGCUGCAUCACUGAGCACUGAUCUUUGCCCUCUGGUAUUGGUUUCUAUACAUAUAAACAGAACGAAGGCUCAGAUACAUCUUUACAUCCCCCUGUCUCUACCACCUCAGUAACUCCAUGAAACAGAAAAGUAACCCUAUCAUCCCUGCUCCAGGAUAGUCACUGAUAAGCCACAUAACAAGUCUGCAAAUCAAAUUUAAAAUUCUCAUGUUAUUCUAGUUUUAAUUACUUACCAGCAAAAAAGGUAUUAAAAAUUUGCUCCCACUGCUUGACUGAUGCUUUAGUUGGUGGGAAAUGGGUCACUGAAAAUGGAUUUCCAGUCUCUUCCCUCUGCUCUGUAACCAUUGAACAGAUUUUCUUGUGGUUUUGGUCUUGGAUUGCUUUGAGAUCUUUGCUGUGUUGUCUCCAACUUUAGGGCUUCAGAAAAUAUUCUCCACAUAUCCAAGGUUAAAAUGUUCUUUUCCAAAAUCAAACGAUUAUAUAUUUUACAAUCCAAGUUUCAAGUCCUACUUUGUCCCAGGGGUCUCUUCUUAUAACUGAAAAUUGUAACAUGACUUCAGUGUGAAAAUGGAGUUUAAGAUCUACAUUUCUUACUCCCUGCCUGAGUGGGCUUGAUCAAGCUUCUUGACUAGUUGUGUGUAGCUAAGCCUCCUCCCUUUACAUCACAGUGAGCAUGUUGCAAUAAGGGAAAAUCAGUCAGUGGGAAGGGGCUCUAAAUACAGCAGAGCUUUUCUGACCUGGGCUCUGCUUUCCUGCUUCCUAAUAAAAUUCCUGACAGCUAAAUGUUUGAAUGAUGA
rnacentral:lncRNA from 1 species